rnacentral:lncRNA from 1 species
CAUCCCUCCUUAUCCAUAAUACCAUUACCAGAAGUCCUCAUUAGUCUUGAUGCUGACUGGUCUGGCAAUGCACUGCUUCAUUUCUGACUCUGCAUUCUCCAGGGACAGUCAUGGUCAAAUCAAAACCAUCUGCUUGCCUUCUAACUGAUGAACAUAGCACACAGGAUGGUUUAUAUUAAUGGGGAAUUUUUCAGCCGUGUGGAAAAAUAUUUGCACAUCUCAUUUUUCGAUGUACUGUUAUCUUUGUCUUUCCUGCAGCUGUUGGAGCUCCAGGGACAAACAAAGAAGGAUCUUUCCACGCAAGAUUAAUACUUCAGCUGAAUACCAGAAGAGUUGACCAUGUGCUGGAUGGGGGCCAUCCAUCAGCAGUUUAACAUCUGUGAUCUAGCUACGGCUUGGACAAUCUCUGUCUCCAGCAUGGAGAAUAAAAGCCUUUGGAACAGACUUCAGAACAAGAAAGCAGAUGAGGACAUAGUCCACAGGCAUUAUAAAUGCACAGGAUUCUUCAUUACUGAUCGCUGUAUCCUUGUAUUGCAAUAAAGCUUCAAAAUCCCACUCAGAAUGAGGUCUCUAUUUUGUGUGUUUCAAGAUGUACGCAGGAAUUCUGGGCUCCUGCCCUGAAGAAUCUGCAAACAAAUUCAAAUGGCAGCUCAAAUCUUAGGGGCACCUGAUCUGCGGAGGUAAAAAAAGCAGUUUGCUGGGAAUGCAGGGGUUCCCAAAAUGAACUGCAGUCCGCUGGUGGGUUGUGACAUUACAAAGCACCAAAAUAUCUACUUCUGCAUUUACCUCCACAUCCUUGAUCCAGAGUGUGUCCUGUCCUGCUCAAGCAUUCAAAGAGUGAAACUGUUAAAUUGUAAACAGCAUGAGUAAUGCUGUUCCAAAGAGACAGCUGAGGGAAUCAGUCUUUCAUACUUUAUUUUUCCUCGGGAGACUAAUUCAAUACACUGCAAAUGGAAGAGUGAGGAGAGAAAGGAAAGACAUUAAGAGAGGACAGUAGAAGUUUUGCUUUCCUCAUUUUCUCUGCUUGUAACUGUUUGAUACCAGAGCCCUUGGUGGCAAUUCACAGACUUUUUGUUCAAACUCCCCUAAGCAAAGAUAAAAGAUUACAGUCAAAGGGGAGGGUUUGUUUUAUCUGAUUUACCUUCUUC